rnacentral:rRNA from 1 species
UACGUAGGUGGCGAGCGUUGUCCGGAUUUACUGGGCGUAAAGAGCGCGCAGGCGGUCGUACAAGUCGCGUGUGAAAGCCCCCGGCUCAACUGGGGAGGGUCACGCGAUACUGUUCGACUCGAAGGCAGGAGAGGGAAGCGGAAUUCCCGGUGUAGUGGUGAAAUGCGUAGAGAUGUGGAGGAACACCAGUGGCGAAGGCGGCUUUCUGGUCUGUAACUGACGCUGAGGCGCGAAAGCGUGGGGAGCAAACAGG